CCUACGGGUGGCAGCAGUGAGGAAUAUUGGUCACUGGACGAGAGUCUGAACCAGCCACGUAGCGUGAAGGAUGACUGCCCUAUGGGUUGUAAACUUCUUUUAUCAAGGAAUAAAACGAGGCACGUGUGCCUUUUUGCAUGUACUUUAUGCAUAAGGAUCGGCUAACUCCGUGCCCGCAGCCGCUGUAAUACGGAGGAUUCGAGCGUUAUCCGGAUUUAUUGGGGUUAAAGGGAGCGUAGAUGGGUUGUUAAGUACGUUGUGAAAGUUUGCGGCGCAAACGGAGAAUUGCAAUUGAUACUGGCAGUCUUGAGUACAGUUGAGGUAGGCGGAAUGCGUGGUGUAGCGGUGAAAUGCUUAGAUAUCACGAAGAACCCCGAUUGCGAAGGCAGCUUACUAAACUGUGACUGACAUUGAUGCUCGAAAGUGUGGGUAUCAAACAGGAUUAGAUACCCGUGUAGUC
rnacentral:rRNA from 1 species